ACACAAGUAGUAAUCAGUUUGCUUGCCAUCAGUUACUAUAUAUGCUCCUUUUAUCUGUUUUAUGUACAGCUUGUAAGAUAUGUAUGCUCCCUGCCCUGUUUUUACAGUCAUUCAUGUGAACCAGAUCAUUUAUAAAAUGGACUGCUGUGAAAUAUGAUUUUUGUUAUGUCUGACUUUAAGGAGAGACAAUCCUGACUGCAAAAAAAUGGAUGCUGUCGAUCGAGGGGAGGGUCAUAAUCCCACCUGCUGCUCACGUGGCUGACUUCACCACUGUCUUGGCCACUCUCUUCGCCUGUUACUAUGUUUUCAACCUAGAGUAUCAGGUGGAAACCUGCACAACUUUGGAAUUUAUUCAGAGGAUUAAUCCUGACUCCACCAAGUGCAGUGCCAAGGAGCAGAUGAGCCGGAAGACUGGGAGAGUGGUGAGGAGAAAGACUUGAUACAUGAACCCCCAUGUGAUCUCCUUCAUCAUGGAGUUCAUGAAGGCUUCACUUCAUGGAGGCUAACUGACUAGAUACAGGGCUCCUGUUUUGUCCAAGCCCAAGGAAGUUUUGUCUAAAAGGUUUGGUAAUGUGCUUUAUGUUCCUGUUCACAAAAAAA